UGCAAAUUUUACAGUUCACUGUGGUUUAUUUCUGUCAGGCUGGCGAACUAGUAAAACCCCGUUUCCUCCGCUGCUCCUUGCUGUGACAUAUUCACGUGUUCUUGUCAUGGUUUGUUUAUCGAUUAACUCAGGACGCACACACGGGACUAAAAGUUUGAGUCUUUAUUGAAACAAGUAUGCUGGGUGGUGAGUGAUGAAGACCGGAGGUUCAGGACUGCAGAAGGUCAGGGAUGUAGGUGAUGGCAGGAGCUGACGGCCCGGAGUGAGAGUCCAUUCAAGCCUGGAGGCUAGGAAGCAUAGGGCUGCUAGGCUAGUAGGCCUCAUAGCAACACCAGGGCACCGAGUGGAGCUUUUCCAGGGUGGCCAGGCAGGUUAGCAGCUCUCUGGAGACACCAGGACACAGAACAGAGCUUCUCCAGGGACAACAGUAGCGUACCAAGUCUUUUAAGGCAACAGGCAGGACUAACCUUCAAUGAAA